UACGAAGGGGGCUAGCGUUGUUCGGAAUUACUGGGCGUAAAGCGUGCGCAGGCGGUUGUGCAAGACCGAUGUGAAAUCCCCGGGCUUAACCUGGGAAUGGCAUUUGUGACUGGAAGGCUAGAGUGUGUCAGAGGGGGGUAGAAUUCCACGUGUAGCAGUGAAAUGCGUAGAGAUGUGGAGGAAUACCGAUGGCGAAGGCGGCAUCCUGGACCGGCAUUGACGCUGAGGAGCGAAAGCCAGGGGGAGCAAAACGGGG
rnacentral:rRNA from 1 species